CGGACAGAAGGGAGCUUGCUCCCGGAUGUUAGCGGCGGACGGGUGAGUAACACGUGGGUAACCUGCCUGUAAGACUGGGAUAACUCCGGGAAACCGGAGCUAAUACCGGAUAGUUCCUUGAACCGCAUGGUUCAAGGAUGAAAGACGGUUUCGGCUGUCACUUACAGAUGGACCCGCGGCGCAUUAGCUAGUUGGUGAGGUAACGGCUCACCAAGGCGACGAUGCGUAGCCGACCUGAGAGGGUGAUCGGCCACACUGGGACUGAGACACGGCCCAGACUCCUACGGGAGGCAGCAGUAGGGAAUCUUCCGCAAUGGACGAAAGUCUGACGGAGCAACGCCGCGUGAGUGAUGAAGGUUUUCGGAUCGUAAAGCUCUGUUGUUAGGGAAGAACAAGUGCAAGAGUAACUGCUUGCACCUUGACGGUACCUAACCAGAAAGCCACGGCUAACUACGUGCCAGCAGCCGCGGUAAUACGUAGGUGGCAAGCGUUGUCCGGAAUUAUUGGGCGUAAAGGGCUCGCAGGCGGUUUCUUAAGUCUGAUGUGAAAGCCCCCGGCUCAACCGGGGAGGGUCAUUGGAAACUGGGAAACUUGAGUGCAGAAGAGGAGAGUGGAAUUCCACGUGUAGCGGUGAAAUGCGUAGAGAUGUGGAGGAACACCAGUGGCGAAGGCGACUCUCUGGUCUGUAACUGACGCUGAGGAGCGAAAGCGUGGG
rnacentral:rRNA from 1 species